AUGCCUGAGUCGUUAGGCGAUGUAUUGUCUAUGUGAAGGGCUCUUUUAAAGCUGGUUUUUAAGCAAAAAGGCAUAUUGCUUAAGUAAAAGCAUUCUCACACAUCUCAAAUGACUAAGUUAAAGGAUAUCAUUGUUAAAGAGAAUGCCAGGUCCAGAAGGCAAGGAAUUACAACUGAACUUUGAUAUACCAAAGCUAGAAACUAUUAACACCAGAAAAAGUCAAUUAUCUCUUGAUGUGUUGCCUUCUAAUGUUUCCGUUGAUUCUCUGGCUUCUGUCAGGACUAUUGAYCUUCUGCCAGCGCUUGAUGUUGAUUCGGAUCAACUUUUUGACCUCGGUAGAACACCAUUAAAUCUCAGUGAAAUUGACAUGGUAAGUCAGUUUUUUUUUUUUAUCCUUUUACAUUAAGUCGUUAAAAACUAGUUAAAAAGUUCUAAAAAUAGUUAUCGAAUAGCUAUAAAAGUUUUCAUUCAAAAUUAGAGUUCAAAACCAUUCCUCUGGUUUUCUUUUUUCUUCAUUUUGUGCGUUUUCUCUUAAUCGGUUCUUUAUUACAUCUCGUUUAAAUUAUUCGUCAUAAUCCUCCGGCUUGUCGUCAUCAUUUCGUGGUGUUGGAUAACUUUCCUCUUCUUUCUCAAUUUUCCAGAAACCAUAGUUUGUUUGAGUUUUUGCUACUGGAUAGCAUGAUGCUAGAUAGGGUUGUGGGUAAAUAUUCACCACCAAUAUCAUAUCUUCUGCUCUUGUACUUGUGUAGUUAUAUUUGUUAAAACGUCUUCCAUAUCCUAAGAAAAUAUCGAACGACUUUCUUAUUAGGAGGGUGACUACCGUUGUUUUUCUUCUUCUAUCGAGCUGAACACCAACACAACCAUGAGGAUUGUUUCUUCCUUCUUGAAGGGUUUCUUUUGCCAGCUCCCAUAUCA